UGUUUCUGUCGUGGCCUAGUGGUCAGAGCGUCCGCCUCUGAUGUGGGAGGUCUUAGGUUUGAAUCCCGCCGAGUCAU